rnacentral:rRNA from 1 species
GACGAACGCUGGCGGCGUGCUUAACACAUGCAAGUCGAACGGAAAGGCCCUGCUUUUGUGGGGUGCUCGAGUGGCGAACGGAUGAGUAACACGUGAGUAACCUGCCCUUGACUUUGGGAUAACUUCAGGAAACUGGGGCUAAUACCGGAUAGGAGCUCCUGCUGCAUGGUGGGGGUUGGAAAGUUUCGGCGGUUGGGGAUGGACUCGCGGCUUAUCAGCUUGUUGGUGGGGUAGUGGCUUACCAAGGCUUUGACGGGUAGCCGGCCUGAGAGGGUGACCGGCCACAUUGGGACUGAGAUACGGCCCAGACUCCUACGGGAGGCAGCAGUGGGGAAUAUUGCACAAUGGGCGGAAGCCUGAUGCAGCAACGCCGCGUGCGGGAUGACGGCCUUCGGGUUGUAAACCGCUUUCGCCUGUGACGAAGCGUGGGUGACGGUAAUGGGUAAAGAAGCACCGGCUAACUACGUG